AAAGCCCCAAUCACCGCCUGCCCACUCAUUGUGCACCCUUGCACGGAAAUCCAAGCCUUAUCGAGGACCUUUGCCCACCAUUACGGCUUACACGGGAAGCCCCCUUUCUAAAUAGCGGAAAUCUCGCCGGGCGCAGACUAAUCGAUCAACCACUCCAUUGCCGAGUGGUUCCGCUGCUAGUCAUCGACCAGACUCUCCUACUGGUCGGUGUGACCCUGACUCUGUGCCGGGUCUGAGGAUGCCCUCCGUCGUCACCCCUUAGAACGCGUUACCCGCUUUCGGACUGCGUCGGUACGGCGCACUUACUACUUCCAGAAUCCUAACAUUUUAAGAAAGUGGCCCCUGCUAUUACUGCCAUGGGCCUCUUCUUCGGGGCCGAUUGAAGCACGGUCGUCGGCGCCAUUAUGCUUCCCCCGAUCGCAACGAGCCUUAAUGACCCGCAUUUCCCGCGCAUCCGCCUAGCAAUUCAGUCUCCACUUUAGGGUCCCGAGUUGGGACCUUGACGGAAACUAUGACCGCUAGAACUCAUACUCUCUCCAUACACCUUGAGGCUCACAUCUCCACUUUAAGCAUCUAUAAGCCUUCUUGUGGUCACCGCUUCCGCUGUAUGACCGAGUAAUGACUGCGACUCCGCGCUUUCGCACCCCUCGUUUGUCCUAAUCUAUGGGACCAUCAGGUGCGGCAUUUGCUACUAACGAUCAACAGCCCGACGUACGUCAAGCCACUGCGUCGAUUGCGUAAUUCGUUAGGCGGACCCCUCAUGCCAGCGUUCUAAUUUUGAGUUUCCUUAACUGCCCCCGGGCGUGUUCGCCACCUCGUACACCAAAUUAAGCUUCGUUGCGCGUCUUGGAAUGGUGGAAAACUGUACGGACCUGGCGGUGCCUCUGCACCGAAAGGGAAGCCCCUGAUCCUGUGUCCACGACGUACCGACAGCAGUCGAGCACAGCACUCUACAACCCAAUUCAGGGCGUUGCUCGCGUUGGGAGCGGUAAUCAACGGUAGUAAAUCAACCCUUGAGAUUACCCUGACGGCCACGAUUCGGCCUCCUUCCACCCCUACUGCAGUUCAGGAGUACCGGGAAUGUCCCACCCGAUGUGUGCACGAUGUUACCGUUGAUGUCUCCCAAUUAGGAAUUUUCAACAGAGUCAAGCCUAACAGGAGACGUUGAGCUCCCGUACUUCAACCUUAGCGAUCAUUAGCGCCUAGUCGUACGGCGCCACUUAUGCAAGGGCCCGGAACAUGUGUGGCGGGCAGUGUGGUACCCUCAACCAAGAUGGGCUUCCGCCACGCGAUUGG
rnacentral:rRNA from 1 species